rnacentral:rRNA from 1 species
UGGGGAAUAUUGCACAAUGGGCGAAAGCCUGAUCCAGCCAUGCCGCGUGUGUGAAGAAGGUCUUCGGAUUGUAAAGCACUUUAAGUUGGGAGGAAGGGCAGUAAGCGAAUACCUUGCUGUUUUGACGUUACCGACAGAAUAAGCACCGGCUAACUCUGUGCCAGCAGCCGCGGUAAUACAGAGGGUGCAAGCGUUAAUCGGAAUUACUGGGCGUAAAGCGCGCGUAGGUGGUUCGUUAAGUUGAAUGUGAAAGCCCCGGGCUCAACCUGGGAACUGCAUCCAAAACUGGCGAGCUAGAGUAGGGCAGAGGGUGGUGGAAUUUCCUGUGUAGCGGUGAAAUGCGUAGAUAUAGGAAGGAACACCAGUGGCGAAGGCGACCACCUGGGCUCAUACUGACACUGAGGUGCGAAAGCGUGGGGAGCAAACAGG